AUUCUUUAAUAGCCGCAAAUAUUCUGUGCUAAGGUAGCAUAAUCAUUUGUUUUUUAAUUAAAAACUAGAAUGAAAGGUUUAACGUUUUAAUUUCUUUUUUAUUUGUACUUAUUUAAAUUUUACUAAAUAUAAAAAUAUAUUUAUAUAUAUAAUAGACGACAAGACCCUAUUGAACUUAACUUAAGUUAAGCUGGGGCAGCUUAUUAAUAUAAAUUUUAAUAAAAUUUAUUAAAUAAAUUAUCCAAUAUAUUUGAUUAAUUAAUCAAGUUACCAUAGGGAUAACAGCGUUAUAUUAAUUUAAAGCUCAUAUUAAAAUUAAUGAUUGCGACCUCGAUGUUGAAUUAUAAUUUCUAUAUUAACGCAAUAGUUAUAUAAGUAGGUCUGUUCGACCUUUAAUAUUUUACAUGAUCU
rnacentral:rRNA from 1 species